rnacentral:rRNA from 1 species
GCUUUACACAUGCAAGUCGAGCGGCAGCGCGGGGGCGAACCCUGGCGGCGAGCGGCGGACGGGUGAGUAAUAGCAUCGGAACGUAUCCCGUAGUGGGGGACAACCCAGCGAAAGCUGGGCUAAUACCGCAUAUGCUCUACGGAGGGAAAGUGGGGGACCCGCAAGGGCCUCACGCUAUGGGAGCGGCCGAUGUCCGAUUAGCUAGUUGGUGGGGUAAAGGCCUACCAAGGCGACGAUCGGUAGCUGGUCUGAGAGGAUGAUCAGCCACACUGGGACUGAGACACGGCCCAGACUCCUACGGGAGGCAGCAGUGGGAAUUUUGGACAAUGGGGGCAACCCUGAUCCAGCCAUGCCGCGUGCGGGAAGAAGGCCUUCGGGUUGUAAACCGCUUUUGUUCGGGAAGAAAAGGCACGUCCUAAUACGGCGUGUUCUUGACGGUACCGGAAGAAUAAGCACCGGCUAACUACGUG